UCGGGAUAGCUCAGUUGGUAGAGCAGAGGACUGAAAAUCCUCGUGUCCC
rnacentral:tRNA from 1 species